rnacentral:rRNA from 1 species
AGGACGAACGCUGGCGGCGUGCUUAACACAUGCAAGUCGAGCGGAAAGGCCCUUCGGGGUACUCGAGCGGCGAACGGGUGAGUAACACGUGAGCAACCUGCCCUUAGCUUCGGGAUAGCUCCGGGAAACCGGAAUUAAUACCGAAUAUGACUUUUGCUGACAUCAGCAGAAGUGGAAAGUUUUUCGGCUAGGGAUGGACUCGCGGCCUAUCAGCUAGUUGGUGAGGUAAUGGCCCACCAAGGCGACGACGGGUAGCCGGCCUGAGAGGGCGACCGGCCACACUGGGACUGAGACACGGCCCAGACUCCUACGGGAGGCAGCAGUGGGGAAUAUUGCGCAAUGGGCGAAAGCCUGACGCAGCGACGCCGCGUGGGGGAUGAAUGCCUUCGGGUUGUAAACCCCUUUCAGCAGGGACGAAGCGAAAGUGACGGUACCUGCAGAAGAAGCGCCGGCUAACUACGUGCCAGCAGCCGC